GUGUGUGUGUGCGUGUCUGCCACUAUUACCACACUUUACUUAUGAAUGAACAAAACUGAUUGCGAUGUUUUGGUAAUCAGUCUAUGAUUGACUGAUACGGGCUCUUUCAUGAACUCUGUGACCUGGAUGUGUGUGUGUGUGUGUGUAGAUAACGUUGCGUGCAAGCUGUGUGUGUGUGUCUGUGUGUCUGUCUGUGUGUAGAUACGCUUGUGUGUGUGUAGGUCUGGUUGUGUGUGUAGGCCAGGUUGUGUGUGUGUGUAGGUCUGGUUGUGUGUGUGUGUGUAGAUAAGGUUGUGUGUGUGUAGGUCAGGUUGUGUGUGUGUAGAUUAAGUUGUGUGUGUGUAGGUCAGGUUGUGUGUGUGUGUGUAGAUUAAGUUGUGUGUGUGUAGGUCAGGUUGUGUGUGUGUGUGUAGAUUAAGUUGUGUGUGUGUAGGUCAGGUUGUGUGUGUGUAGAUUAAGUUGUGUGUGUGUAGGUCAGGUUGUGUGUGUGUAGAUGAAGUUGUGUGUGUGUAGGUCAGGUUGUGUGUGUGUAGAUUAAGUUGUGUGUGUGUAGGUCAGGUUGUGUGUGUGUGUAGAUCAGGUUUUGUGUGUGUAGGUCAGGUUGAAUGUGCCAUUGAGGUUUUGUGUUGAGUUUAGUUUCAAACUUUUAUAAAUAAAUAAAUUAAUUAAAAAAACGACUUUGUCUUACAAGCUACAGUAGAUAAGGUUGUGUGUGUAGAUUGCAUUCAGUUUG
ensembl:lncRNA